rnacentral:tRNA from 1 species
GCAAUGGUGGUUCAGUGGUAGAAUCCUCGCCUUCCAUGUGGGAGACCGGGUUCGAUUCCUGGCCAGUGAC